rnacentral:rRNA from 1 species
GACGAACGCUGGCGGCGUGCCUAAUACAUGCAAGUCGAACGCUUCUUUCCUCCCGAGUGCUUGCACUCAAUUGGAAAGAGGAGUGGCGGACGGGUGAGUAACACGUGGGUAACCUACCCAUCAGAGGGGGAUAACACUUGGAAACAGGUGCUAAUACCGCAUAACAGUUUAUGCCGCAUGGCAUAAGAGUGAAAGGCGCUUUCGGGUGUCGUUGAUGGAUGGACCCGCGGUGCAUUAGCUAGUUGGUGAGGUAACGGCUCACCAAGGCCACGAUGCAUAGCCGACCUGAGAGGGUGAUCGGCCACACUGGGACUGAGACACGGCCCAGACUCCUACGGGAGGCAGCAGUAGGGAAUCUUCGGCAAUGGACGAAAGUCUGACCGAGCAACGCCGCGUGAGUGAAGAAGGUUUUCGGAUCGUAAAACUCUGUUGUUAGAGAAGAACAAGGACGUUAGUAACUGAACGUCCCCUGACGGCAUCUAACCAGAAAGCCACGGCUAACUACGUG